CUACGGGGGGCUCCAGUGGGGAAUAUUGGACAAUGGGCGCAAGCCCGAUCCAGCAAUGCCGCGUGAGUGAAGACGGCCCUAGGGUUGUAAAACUCUUUCGCUAGGGAAGAUAAUGACUGUACCUAGUAAAGAAGUCCCGGCUAACUCCGUGCCAGCAGCCGCGGUAAUACGGAGGGGACUAGCGUUGUUCGGAAUUACUGGGCGUAAAGAGUUCGUAGGCGGACUGACAAGUUAGAGGUGAAAUCCCAGGGCUCAACCCUGGAACUGCCUUUAAAACUGUCAGUCUAGAGACCGGAAGAGGUUAGGGGAAUACCUAGUGUAGAGGUGAAAUUCGUAGAUAUUAGGUGGAACACCAGUGGCGAAGGCGCCUAACUGGUCCGGUACUGACGCUGAGGAACGAAAGCGUGGGGAGCAAACAGGAUUAGAUACCCCCGUAGUC
rnacentral:rRNA from 1 species